rnacentral:rRNA from 1 species
UACGGAAGGGGCGAGCGUUGUUCGGAAUCAUUGGGCGUAAAGGGCGCGUAGGUGGUUCUGUAUGUCUACUGUGAAAGCGUACGGCUCAACCGUAUUUAGUCGGUAGAAACUGCAGGACUUGAGGCUGGGAGGGGCUGGUGGAAUUCCCUGUGUAGCGGUGAAAUGCGUAGAGAUGGGGGAGAACACUCGUGGCGAAGGCGGCCAGCUAGACCAGUUCUGACACUGAGGCGCGACAGCGUGGGGAGCAAACAGG